GGCAGGCCUAACACAUGCAAGUCGAGCGAAUGAGGGUAGCUUGCUACCUGAUUUAGCGGCGGACGGGUGAGUAAUGUAUAGGGAGCUGCCCGAUAGAGGGGGAUACCAGUUGGAAACGACUGUUAAUACCGCAUAAUGUCUACGGACCAAAGUGUGGGACCUUCGGGCCACAUACUAUCGGAUGCACCUAUAUGGGAUUAGCUAGUUGGUGGGGUAAUGGCUCACCAAGGCGACGAUCCCUAGCUGGUUUGAGAGGAUGAUCAGCCACACUGGGACUGAGACACGGCCCAGACUCCUACGGGAGGCAGCAGUGGGGAAUAUUGGACAAUGGGCGCAAGCCUGAUCCAGCCAUGCCGCGUGUGUGAAGAAGGCCUUCGGGUUGUAAAGCACUUUCAGCGAGGAGGAAGGGGUAUGUGUUAAUAGCGCAUAUUCUUGACGUUACUCGCAGAAGAAGCACC
rnacentral:rRNA from 1 species